rnacentral:lncRNA from 1 species
CUGCCCAGGGCCAGCGGGCGGCCGGCCGCAUCCGCCGGCUACGGCGCGCGCCCGCGCCUCACCCCCCAUCCCUUUCCUCCCCGGCUGAAGGCAGGCAGCAAGACACAGGAACACCUACAUCCAGGGCCAGCUGAAGAAGGAGAAAGGAGGAGGUGGGUCUCCAGCCACCCCCACUCUGCACCUCCCAUCUCUCUCUAGGUGGCCAGACAGCCUGGGAGCCCGCACCCCUGGGCUGUUACAGGCACAGGAGGAGCCUGGGUGGCAUCUCGCCCCUUCCCUUUAGGAACUGGAGCGUUGGAGGUUUGUAGUCCCUCACUGGAGCUGUUGCCUGUUUAGGGGGACCUGAGCUGGGGACCCCCAAACUCAAAUCAGAAAAGUUAAG